AGCCGUCCCACAGUGCGGAUGACCCAAAAAUCGGACCGCGGACCGCCGACCUUUGACAUCAUCAUUUCGCUCGCGUUCGCAAUUUUUACCGCGCUGUCACCGCGGUUUUGAACGCUUUCGUUCCGCUCUGUGUUGGUGCUGUUUUUUCGGGGGCAAAAAAAAAACACAAAAAACAGUGUAAACAAGACAGCAGGAGUUACAUGACUAAAUAAAGUAAAGGCCCCGUCGUUCAAUAACAAAUCAAUUGAAAUAUGUAUACCCGCUAUGCUGGAUGCAUCCACGGUAAACAAGACCUCGUAUAUGAUUGUUUGUUUGCAAACAUCGGAUUCGUUACCAGAUUUUGCCUACGGUGCACUUCGCAUCUAAGUGACACUGGUGACCACAAGAUGUGCAUAUAAGACUGGAUGAGUAAUCCCAAAAACCUCCACAUAAAAAUUAGAUGCACAGCAUAAAACAUUUCUUGUCAACUCAACUUAACAAAUAUGCUCGCUUUAAAAUGCGGUUCAUUUGGUAAUUAAACGUUUCUUCUUCCUUGCAAUGAAGCCUUAAAAUGACACAAGUUUGCAAAUGUAACGACUCGAAUCCAGAUGAUAUAUUGCAUCGAUGCCUCUCGUGCAGGCGCAUUAAGUUCGCUUAUUGCCGGCAAUAAACUCAUUUACGUACUCGACCCGAGCACGUUG